rnacentral:tRNA from 2 species
GAUUGUUUAGUUUAAUAAAAACGAAUGUUUUGAAAACAUUAAAUAAGAAUUAUUAUUCUUAAUAAUCU